AGAGUUUGAUCCUGGCUCAGAUUGAACGCUGGCGGCAGGCUUAACACAUGCAAGUCGAGCGGAGUGAUGGUGCUUGCACUAUCACUUAGCGGCGGACGGGUGAGUAAUGCUUAGGAAUCUGCCAUUUAGUGGGGGACAACAUUCCGAAAGGAAUGCUAAUACCGCAUACGUCCUACGGGAGAAAGCAGGGGAUCUUCGGACCUUGCGCUAAAUGAUGAGCCUAAGUCGGAUUAGCUAGUUGGUGGGGUAAAGGCCUACCAAGGCGACGAUCUGUAGCGGGUCUGAGAGGAUGAUCCGCCACACUGGGACUGAGACACGGCCCAGACUCCUACGGGAGGCAGCAGUGGGGAAUAUUGGACAAUGGGCGGAAGCCUGAUCCAGCCAUGCCGCGUGUGUGAAGAAGGCCUUUUGGUUGUAAAGCACUUUAAGCGAGGAGGAGGCUACUAGUACUAAUACUACUGGAUAGUGGACGUACUCGCAGAAUAG
rnacentral:rRNA from 1 species